GGGCCCGCACAAGCGGAGGAACAUGUGGUUUAAUUCGAUGAUACGCGAGGAACCUUACCUGGGUUUAAAUGGGGAGUGGCAGGUGUCGAAAGAUGCUUUUCCUUCGGGACACUCUUCAAGGUGCUGCAUGGUUGUCGUCAGCUCGUGCCGUGAGGUGUCGGGUUAAGUCCCAUAACGAGCGCAACCCUUGCCGAUAGUUGCCAUCACGUAAAGGUGGGCACUCUAUCGGGACUGCCGGUGUAAACCGUGAGGAAGGUGGGGAUGACGUCAAAUCAGCACGGCCCUUACAUCCAGGGCUACACACGUGUUACAAUGGCCAGUACAGAGGGCCGCUACCCCGCGAGGGGAUGCCAAUCUCGAAAGCUGGUCUCAGUUCGGAUUGAAGUCUGGAACCCGACUUCAUGAAGCCGGAUUCGCUAGUAAUCGCGCAUCAGCCACGGCGCGGUGAAUACGUUCCCGGGCCUU
rnacentral:rRNA from 1 species